GAAUCCACCAUUGGAUCAUGUAAUAGUUCAUUUAAGAUCUGUGCAGAUGAAUAAAUGAAUAAGUUCCGAGAGUUUAGAGACCUGGGUGACAUACAAUCCAAUGAUUAACAUCUUUGAUACAAUCCGAACCUCUUUAGGCUACUGUGUAAGAAAGAGGAUAAUAGAAGAAGAUGGAGGUAGAAGAAGAAUAGGCAAAUCGUC
rnacentral:lncRNA from 1 species